CCCACAUGGGCGCUCCCUCAGCCCGUUACCUGAUCAGAGCCACUACCCUCAUGCUGCUCACGGGCCCGGGGGCGGUAACGCUAACAGGGAGGGGGUUUCAAUUUGGAUUGAAAAAAAUUGUGACUACAGUAUUCAUUCUGCAAUAAUCCAAGCUCCUCGACAACUGGUGGUGUUGGGCGUUCGGCAGAGCAUGGGAGUUGCUCAGCAUCUAUUGCAAUCUGAACCUUAAUUUCUUAAGGGAAAAGGACAAGACUUCAGGGAGCUUUUCCCUACUCAGACUCCUUGUUGUUUUCCUUUUUAACCACUGGUUUUAUGCGAGAACAUUUAUUUCUAUCAUCUCAGACAUUGGACUACAUCUCUCAAGAUUCAACGUGUUACAAACAAACAUAUUCCACCUGUUACAACAAUCUGGCAUAUUACUUUCUUGAUACGUGAUGAUACAAUACCUCUCAGGUUUGCUGAGUAGCAAAGAGAAAUUGACUUAUGCAUGGAGAACAAGAAGAGCUACCCUUAAGAUCAUACAUAACAUAUAUCUAUUCAGGGACAGUGAAUAAUAAACAGUCUCUGGAGCUUGGCAGAAGUUUCAUUCAAGGGCCAUCCUGGACUUUGCAUGUUUUGUUUAUUGUGUAAUAAGUAGUCAAAUAAAUUUUCAGACACUGAAAGUGUGUUUUUUCUAUAAUACAAAAUUUUAAGCAGGUUUCUUGGCAUGCAUUUUGUUUGUACUGUGCUUGAGGUUGUUUAUGGCAUUAGUGGUUUGUGCAUGUUUGCAUUCUGUCUGUUCAUGAAGUAUUUCACUGGUUCCCUUACGCAGCAUGUGGUCGGUCGAAGAUCAUUUUUGAUAGCGUGUGUAGUCAUCGUGCAUUUUGCUGAAAGGCUUUUAAACUGAGAUGCCUAACUUUAAGAACAUAAUUCUCCCCAUGAAUCUUGUCCUACAUUUCAAGAAACCCUACUUCUGCAGAAAUUAUUGAGAAUGUGCAUGAAACUUAAAAGAAACAGAGCUGACCAAAAAUAAAUGCUUAUGAAAAUUCCACUUAUGUCACACCAUUCCUCCAGUGAGUAAUUGAUAUUUAAAUUUCCUUCCCACUCGGCUAUGAUCUUGCCCCACGGUCUGUAUUAUUCAGGAAGAACUGGUAUAAAUGAAAAACUUCUUCAGCUGGUUCCACAACUAUCAGGUGACAGUCUCAGAGGUUGGAUUUUGGUUCUUCCAGGGAACUGCAGGACACCUGCAAAUGGGGGAGUCCAAGUAACGUGAAUUGCAUAUAAAAACGAUACCUUUUCACAGAUGUGGAAGGAAAUACAAAGCAAAAAUGCGAAGUAUUUUCAGACUUUGUGAGUGUAGAGCUGUGGAGGGAAGAUGCCAAUGUGAGCAGCAGGCAAUUAGUACAGUGUUCUCUUGCAAAGGGCAGUUGGAUGAUCUGCACCCAUCAUAGGACAAGUAUUGUGACUGUGUCUGCCUGGGAGAACUCAGCCAAGAAUUCUAACAAUGUACCCAAUCCUCUUCUCUAAGAUAUAAUCUGUAGAGAGCAUCUACUUCAUCUGACAAACAUGAUUUCGAUUCAGGAAAUAGCUCACAAUCAUUCUAUUGGAUCUGACAUCAGCGGUAUCCGCGCAGCCAUUCUGUGCAAACUCCCUGCUUUUAAAGGUCUUCCCAUCACUGUUAUUGGUCUCACAGAUGAUGAAGUAUGACACUCCAUAAACAAUGAGCUGGGCCUUUUGUAGGCUGCUUUGCUUUUUUUGGCUUCAAACUGCCACUGAAUGUCAAAUCAAUUUGGCUCUCAUUAGAACAGCUUUAUAUGUGCAAAUGUA